rnacentral:lncRNA from 1 species
GUUGGAGUAUUUUAACUCGACGUGCGUGUGCGCAUGGCCUUGGUCGGCGUGGAACAGCAGGCUGCUUCGGGAGGGGGAGGGCACAUCCGGGCACCUGUCCUGCAAGCGAGCCUCGGGACCUGGGUUCUCUGUGACGUCCUGGCCUUCAGCUAAGGAGCAUGUUGGCAUGGGAUGUGGGAAAUGGCAAGACCCCAGAAAUGGACAGAUAGAAGGAAAGACGGCUGCUAAGCAGACAUUAUGCUACACAGAGUCCAGGCCAGCCCAUGUCGCAGAGCGGUUACUUACAUUAAGAAAGGAUUCUGUGUCAAGUGUUUGAGUUAAUUUCUACCUCUUAGGAUCGAGGAAGUAGGGUUUAAUAUUUCCAUGUAGGGAGAGGAACACCCAGGCUCAGGGAAGUAACUGACCUACUCUCGCGUGGUUCCAGAGGUGGAUUUUCGGACACCAAAGUCGCUCUCCCACCCUGAAGGUCCCAUUCAAGCCAGAGCCGGAGUGUAAGGUCAUGGAUUCUCCCACUCGCUUGCCCUAGGGGUUAAAUUGUACACUGCCCCUGUUAAGGCAUAUCCAGGACUUUAAAGGUCUCCCUGUUGGCCAACACUAACCUGGGAUGGUGAAGUCAGGAUAAUGAAUUCCCUUCACUUACCCUUCAGCUUUUCCCAAAGAUCCUGCAGACACCCGCACACAGAGAAAAUGCAUCUUUGGCUUUGUUUUCUCCAUGACACAGUGCUGUCCGGUCUCCUUCCUUUUGACCUGACAGUGGGGUGGUGACUCUUGCUGCGGACUGAAGUGUCAGCAGGCGCUUGUGCGGAAGAGACAGUCUGAAGAGGUGGGGGCUUCUGGAGGUGACCGGGCUUUGCAGGCAGUCUCCUGAGUGGAAUCAGUGUCCUUACAGAAGAGACCCCAGGAGCUCCCUCCCUGCCCCUUUGCCACUGAGCAUAGAGCAAGAAGACGGUCCGUGGCUCAGGAACUUCUCCAACACUGAGCCUGCCAGCACCCUGACCUUAAGAAACACGCGUCUGUUGUCCAUAAGCCACUCAGGGUACAGCAGGUAGUUAGAGCAGCCUGGGCCAAGGCACUUUCUUUUCCCCUUUCUGUUUCU